rnacentral:rRNA from 1 species
GAUGAACGCUAGCUACAGGCUUAACACAUGCAAGUCGAGGGGCAGCAUGUCGGUUGCUUGCAACCGAUGAUGGCGACCGGCGCACGGGUGAGUAACGCGUAUCCAACCUACCCUUGUCCAUCGGAUAACCCGUCGAAAGGCGGCCUAACACGAUAUGCGGUUCACAGCAGGCAUCUAACGUGAACGAAAUGUGAAGGAGAAGGAUGGGGAUGCGUCUGAUUAGCUUGUUGGCGGGGUAACGGCCCACCAAGGCUACGAUCAGUAGGGGUUCUGAGAGAAAGAUCCCCCACAUGGGAACAGAGACAGGGCCAAAACGCCUACGGGAGGGAGCAGGGAGGAAUAUGGGUAAAUGGACGAGAGUCUGAACCACCAAAGUAGCGUGCAGGAGGACGGCCCUAUGGUUUGUAAACUGCUUUUAUAGGGGGAUAAAGUGUGCCACGUGUGGCAUAUUGCAGGUACCCUAUAAAUAAGGACCGGCUAAUUCCGUGCCAGCAGCCGCCGUAAUAC